rnacentral:rRNA from 1 species
UACGUAGGGUGCGAGCGUUGUCCGGAAUUAUUGGGCGUAAAGAGCUUGUAGGCGGUUUGUCGCGUCUGCUGUGAAAUUUCGGGGCUCAACCCCGAACUUGCAGUGGGUACGGGCAGACUAGAGUGUGGUAGGGGAGACUGGAAUUCCUGGUGUAGCGGUGAAAUGCGCAGAUAUCAGGAGGAACACCGGUGGCGAAGGCGGCGAUCUGGCCCAACAUUGACACUGAGACCCGAAAGCAUGGGGAUCAAACAGG